UAUGACUCUCGGCAAUGGAUAUCUUGGCUCUUGCAUCGAUGAAGAGCGCAGCGAAAUGCGAUACGUGGUGCGAAUUGCAGAAUCCCGUGAACCAUCGAGUUUUUGAACGCAAGUUGCGCCUGAGGCCAACUGGCCGAGGGCACGCCCGCCUGGGCGUCAUGC
rnacentral:rRNA from 1 species